UCUGAGGAGCACGCCGCGUGAGUGAUGAAGGUUUUCGGAUCGUAAAGCUCUGUUGUUAGGGAAGAACAAGUACCGUUCGAAUAGGGCGGUACCUUGACGGUACCUAACCAGAAAGCCACGGCUAACUACGUGCCAGCAGCCGCGGUAAUA
rnacentral:rRNA from 1 species